rnacentral:rRNA from 1 species
GCAGUCGAACGGUAACAGGAAUCAGCUUGCUGAUUCGCUGACGAGUGGCGGACGGGUGAGUAAUGUCUGGGAAACUGCCUGAUGGAGGGGGAUAACUACUGGAAACGGUAGCUAAUACCGCAUAACGUCGCAAGACCAAAGAGGGGGACCUUCGGGCCUCUUGCCAUCGGAUGUGCCCAGAUGGGAUUAGCUAGUAGGUGGGGUAAAGGCUCACCUAGGCGACGAUCCCUAGCUGGUCUGAGAGGAUGACCAGCCACACUGGAACUGAGACACGGUCCAGACUCCUACGGGAGGCAGCAGUGGGGAAUAUUGCACAAUGGGCGCAAGCCUGAUGCAGCCAUGCCGCGUGUAUGAAGAAGGCCUUCGGGUUGUAAAGUACUUUCAGCGGGGAGGAAGGGAGUAAAGUUAAUACCUUUGCUCAUUGACGUUACCCGCAGAAGAAGCACCGGCUAACUCCGUGCCAGCAGCCGCGGUAAUACGGAGGGUGCAAGCGUUAAUCGGAAUUACUGGGCGUAAAGCGCACGCAGGCGGUUUGUUAAGUCAGAUGUGAAAUCCCCGGGCUCAACCUGGGAACUGCAUCUGAUACUGGCAAGCUUGAGUCUCGUAGAGGGGGGUAGAAUUCCAGGUGUAGCGGUGAAAUGCGUAGAGAUCUGGAGGAAUACCGGUGGCGAAGGCGGCCCCCUGGACGAAGACUGACGCUCAGGUGCGAAAGCGUGGGGAGCAAACAGGAUUAGAUACCCUGGUAGUCCACGCCGUAAACGAUGUCGACUUGGAGGUUGUGCCCUUGAGGCGUGGCUUCCGGAGCUAACGCGUUAAGUCGACCGCCUGGGGAGUACGGCCGCAAGGUUAAAACUCAAAUGAAUUGACGGGGGCCCGCACAAGCGGUGGAGCAUGUGGUUUAAUUCGAUGCAACGCGAAGAACCUUACCUGGUCUUGACAUCCACGGAAGUUUUCAGAGAUGAGAAUGUGCCUUCGGGAACCGUGAGACAGGUGCUGCAUGGCUGUCGUCAGCUCGUGUUGUGAAAUGUUGGGUUAAGUCCCGCAACGAGCGCAACCCUUAUCCUUUGUUGCCAGCGGUCCGGCCGGGAACUCAAAGG